GGGGAUCACGCAGAGCUGAACCCCGGAGCUAGGCGCUCACGGAGGGCUGCACAGAGCUGGAAGACGCGGCAGCUGUGACCUGGCGUGAGGAGGCCAAGGGAGCGCACAGAACUGCAAGCAAAGGGCGGUGGGGCCUGGACCCUGAAGUGAGUGGCCGACCGCAGCAGCUCAAGGUGCCAUCUGCCUGGCCUGUGAGGUGUGUCCCUCCAGACUGAGAGGCUACGACUCAGGGCUGGACUUUGUGGAAAAAAGAAGUUUAUAAAACAAGUAACCCAGUUUAUCCAACCUUUACUGUGGAGCAACAGCGUCAAGCAACAAAACCCAGCAAAGUUUUGCUUGUCACUUACAAGGGUGUUGCUGAAAUCUGGAAGGUGAACAAUGAGAAGAUAGCCCAAACAUGCUCUAUUGCUCUACACUGAAAUAUUCGCCUCCAAUGAUAGAAAAAAGUUUUCGUGCAAUUAGUUGAUUAGCGUUUUGUAGCAGUCCCUAGACAAUUUUAAAGACAUUUUGUUUGUAGUCAAAAUUAAACACACACACACAUACACACACACACACACACAGAAACCAUAUUCAAGACACAGUUCGACUCUUUCCUUGACACUACCCACGAGGUUUGAAGCAUUUUUGAAUGUUAUUUUCAAACUUCCUUAAGUGAUCCCAUGAAAUAAAAGUCGGUAAUAGAAAUUCAAAUAACACAGAACAAAGAACUUAGAGACCACAGAGCUUAGAGAAAUGGAGAAGCAGUAGAGGUAAAUACAAAUCCGUGCGCCAGAAAUCUGUAAGAACCGCUUAUAAAUUCAGUUACCUCCUGAACUCCGACCGAUGGCCACUCCGGCCCGGGAGCGCCCCGCGCCGACCCGCUGGCCUUGGCUGUCUCAGCCUUCAUUAUCGCCGCGGCCUCUGCGCCCCCUGUCCCCGGCUGCCCAGGGGAACCAAGUUCCCGCUGCUGGCGUAGGGGCAGAGGAGCCCCGCCUCAUUCUGGAUUCGGUGGCCAGCGCAGAACCAUUUGAAAAGAAGCAGCCCGAAGUGAAACAGAAAAGCUGAAAACUCCCCGGCCGGGCUCUCCACUUCUCGGUUCUCGCUCACGAGUUCCAAACAGUUAAAACGACGUUGGCAAGGCCGAGGGCCACCGAGCUCUGUGAGACUCCCUUGGAGGGGCCAGGAACGGUAGCUCCAGAAGCUUGGAGGCGGCGGCUGGGAGUUGGGGCGCAACUUCAGUGACUGGGCGCCGCGGCCGUGCUGGGGCUCCCAAGCGUCUGGCUCCCGGGGUCGGUCGACGCGGCGCUGCCUUCGAUCAGGUCCCGUCGACCUCGGGCCUCUGGACCACCACCGCUCCGGCCGGCCCGGCAACCCAUCCCGAGCGAGAUCGCGCUCCACCCCUUCUCCUCUGCAUUCCCGCAGGUCCUGGGGCGGCUCCAUCCCCCCCAAGGCGGGGAGAUGGCAAGGGAGGCUCCAGAGAGUUUCGGGAGGGGGCGCCGGAUUCGGUUUAAGAGACCGCGUAACAGAUGGUGGAGAGCUCCUAGAUGAAAGUUUUUGAACAGGCACUCGCUAAUAGACUUGCUUUGACGACUCGGGGUGUAAUUGAAGGGUCAUUUAAUCUAGAUGCAAGGUGAAAGAAAACAGGCCCGGGGGUGUGGCAUACCUAAGGAGGAACUAGAGCAUCUUUUCACUAGGUUUGCCUGUCAUUUUUACUUUCCUGGAAAAUACAUUCUCAAGUCAAAUUUUAA
rnacentral:lncRNA from 1 species